CGGUGUAGCUCAGUUGGUAGAGCAACUGAUUUGUAAUCAGUGGGUCGUAGGUUCAAGUCCUAUCACCG
rnacentral:tRNA from 1 species